GAUGAACGCUGGCGGCGUGCCUAAUACAUGCAAGUCGAGCGAACAGAUGAGGAGCUUGCUCCUCUGACGUUAGCGGCGGACGGGUGAGUAACACGUGGAUAACCUACCUAUAAGACUGGGAUAACUUCGGGAAACCGGAGCUAAUACCGGAUAAUAUAUUGAACCGCAUGGUUCAAUAGUGAAAGACGGUUUUGCUGUCACUUAUAGAUGGAUCCGCGCCGCAUUAGCUAGUUGGUAAGGUAACGGCUUACCAAGGCAACGAUGCGUAGCCGACCUAGGAGGGUGAUCGGCCACACUGGAACUGAGACACGGUCCAGACUCCUACGGGAGGCAGCAGUAGGGAAUCUUCCGCAAUGGGCGAAAGCUUGACGGAGCAACGCCGCGUGAUUGAUGAAGGUCUUCGGAUCGUAAAACUCUUUUAUUAGGGAAGAACAAAUGUGUAAGUAACUAUGCACGUCUUGACGGUACCUAAUCAGAAAGCCACGGCUAACUACGUG
rnacentral:rRNA from 1 species